rnacentral:rRNA from 1 species
GAUGAACGCUGGCGGCGUGCCUAAUACAUGCAAGUCGAGCGAACCUCUUCGGAGGUUAGCGGCGGACGGGUGAGUAACACAUGGGCAACCUACCUUGUAGAUGGGGCUAACAUCGAGAACUCGGUGCUAAUACCGAAUAACACUUUUCUCCACCUGGAGAAACGUUAAAAGUUGGCUUUUGCUAACACUACAAGAUGGGCUCGCGGCGCAUUAGCUAGUUGGUGAAGUAACGGCUCACCAAGGGUACGCUGCGUAUCCGACCUGAGAGGGUGGUCGGCCACACUGGGACGGAGGCACGGCCCACACUCCUACGAGAGGGAGAAGUAGGGAAUCUUCCGCAAUGGACGAAAGUCUGACGAAGCAACGCCGCGUGAGUGAUGAAGGCCUUCAGGUCGUAAAACUCUGUUGUUAGGGAAGAACAAGUACCUUUCGAAUAGGGCGGUACCGUGACGGUACCUAACCAGAAAGCCACGGCUAACUACGUGCCAGCAGCCGCCGUAA